AUACGGAGGGAGCUAGCGUUGUUCGGAAUUACUGGGCGUAAAGCGCACGUAGGCGGCUUUGUAAGUCAGAGGUGAAAGCCUGGAGCUCAACUCCAGAACUGCCUUUGAGACUGCAUCGCUUGAAUCCAGGAGAGGUGAGUGGAAUUCCGAGUGUAGAGGUGAAAUUCGUAGAUAUUCGGAAGAACACCAGUGGCGAAGGCGGCUCACUGGACUGGUAUUGACGCUGAGGUGCGAAAGUGUGGGGAGCAAACAGGAUUAGAUACCCUGGUAGUCCACGCCGUAAACGAUGAUAACUAGCUGUCCGGGCACUUGGUGCUUGGGUGGCGCAGCUAACGCAUUAAGUUAUCCGCCUGGGGAGUACGGUCGCAAGAUUAAA
rnacentral:rRNA from 1 species